rnacentral:rRNA from 1 species
AUUGAACGCUGGCGGCAGGCCUAACACAUGCAAGUCGAGCGGUAGCACAGAGAGCUUGCUCUCGGGUGACGAGCGGCGGACGGGUGAGUAAUGUCUGGGAAACUGCCUGAUGGAGGGGGAUAACUGCUGGAAACGGUAGCUAAUACCGCAUAACGUCGCAAGACCAAAGUGGGGGACCUUCGGGCCUCAUGCCAUCAGAUGUGCCCAGAUGGGAUUAGCUGGUAGGUGGGGUAACGGCUCACCUCGGCGACGAUCCCUAGGUGGUCUGAGCGGAGGACCGGCCACACUGGAACUGAGACACGGUCCAGACUCCUACGGGAGGCAGCAGUGGGGAAUAUUGCACCAUGGGCGCAAGCCUGAUGCAGCCAUGCCGCGUGUGUGAAGAAGGCCUUCGGGUUGUAAAGCACUUUCAGCGGGGAGGAAGGCGAUAAGGUUAAUAACCUUGUCGAUUGACGUUACCCGCAGAAGAAGCACCGGCUAACUCCGUGCCAGCCGCCGCCGUAACAC